rnacentral:tRNA from 1 species
GAGGGUAUAGCUCAGUGGUAGAGUGCAUGCUUAGCAUGUGUGAGGUCCUGGGUUCAAUCCCCAGUACCUCCA